GACGUUAGCUCAGUUGGGUAGAGCAGCAGCGAAAGCUGUCGGUCGCCGGUUCGACUCCGGCACGUCACCA
rnacentral:tRNA from 1 species